rnacentral:hammerhead_ribozyme from 1 species
AUCCAGAUGAUGAGUCUCAAAUAGGACGAAACGCUUGUUUUAGAU